rnacentral:rRNA from 1 species
GAUGAACGCUAGCGACAGGCCUAACACAUGCAAGUCGAGGGGCAGCACAUGAGUAGCAAUACGAUGGUGGCGACCGGCGCACGGGUGAGUAACACGUAUGCAACCUGCCUGUAAGAGGGGGAUAACCCGGAGAAAUUCGGACUAAUACCGCAUAAUACCACGAGACUGCAUGGUUUUGUGGUUAAACAUUUAUGGCUUACAGAUGGGCAUGCGUAUGAUUAGAUAGUUGGUAGGGUAACGGCCUACCAAGUCUACGAUCAUUAGGGGUUCUGAGAGGAAGGUCCCCCACACUGGUACUGAGACACGGACCAGACUCCUACGGGAGGCAGCAGUGAGGAAUAUUGGUCAAUGGGCGAGAGCCUGAACCAGCCAAGUCGCGUGAAGGAAGAAGGUUCUAUGGAUUGUAAACUUCUUUUGCAGGGGAAUAAAGGACGGUACGUGUACUGUUUUGUAUGUACCUUGCGAAUAAGGAUCGGCUAACUCCGUGCCAGCAGCCG